ensembl:ncRNA R02D5.14 ncRNA
CCAAAAUGACGACUCAUCGACACAUUUUCAUCGUAGUCAGCCCGGGGCGGUGGGAGGAGGGCGCCCCCCGAGUAAUACCAUAAAACUUUUGUGUGUGUCCGGUGUGAGCGACUAGAGGAAGGAAGAGGCAAAAAAUGAAAAGAGCGG